rnacentral:rRNA from 1 species
AUUCCAGCUCCAAUAGCGUAUAUUAAAGUUGUUGCAGUUAAAAAGCUCGUAGUUGAACUUCAGACCUGGCCGGGCGGUCCGCCUUCUGGCGUGUUACUGUCUGGCCGGGCCUUACCUCUUGGUGAGCCUGCAUGCCCUUUACUGGACGUGUAGGAGAACCAGGACCUUUACCUUGAGAAAAUUAGAGUGUUCAAAGCAGGCAUACGCCCGAAUACAUUAGCAUGGAAUAAUAAAAUAGGACGUGCGGUUCUAUUUUGUUGGUUUCUAGAGUCGCCGUAAUGAUUAAUAGGGAUAGUUGGGGGCAUUAGUAUUCAGUUGCUAGAGGUGAAAUUCUUGGAUUUACUGAAGACUAACUACUGCGAAAGCAUUUGCCAAGGAUGUUUUCAUCG